UACGUAGGGUGCAAGCGUUACUCGGAAUUACUGGGCGUAAAGCGUGCGCAGGCGGCUUUGCAAGACAGAUGUGAAAUCCCCGGGCUUAACCUGGGAACUGCAUUUGUGACUGCAUGGCUGGAGUGCGGCAGAGGGGGAUGGAAUUCCACGUGUAGCAGUGAAAUGCGUAGAUAUCUGGAGGAACACCGGUGGCGAAGGCGGCAUCCUGGACCGGCAUUGACGCUGAGGCGCGAAAGCCAGGGGAGCAAACGGG
rnacentral:rRNA from 1 species